rnacentral:rRNA from 1 species
GUCGAACGCUUCAGCAAUGAAGAGUGGCAGACGGGUGAGUAACGCGUGGGAACCUUCCCAGUGGUACGGAAUAGCCCAGGGAAACUUGGGGUAAUACCGUAUAAGCCCUUAGGGGGAAAGAUUUAGCGCCAUUGGAUGGGCCCGCGUCGGAUUAGCUUGUUGGUGAGGUAAAAGCUCACCAAGGCGACGAUCCGUAGCUGGUCUGAGAGGAUGAUCAGCCACACUGGGACUGAGACACGGCCCAGACUCCUACGGGAGGCAGCAGUGGGGAAUAUUGGACAAUGGGCGCAAGCCUGAUCCAGCCAUGCCGCGUGAGUGACGAAGGCCUUAGGGUUGUAAAACUCUUUUGGCGGGGACGAUAAUGACGGUACCCGCAGAAUAAGCUCCGGCUAACUUCGUGCCAGCAGCCGCGGUAAUACGAAGGGAGCUAGCGUUGUUCGGAAUUACUGGGCGUAAAGCGCACGUAGGCGGAUUUGUUAGUCAGGGGUGAAAUCCCGGGGCCCAACCUCGGAACUGCCUUUGAUACUGCAAGUCUGGAGUCCGGAAGAGGUGGGUGGAAUUCCUAGUGUAGAGGUGAAAUUCGUAGAUAUUAGGAAGAACACCGGUGGCGAAGG